GGCGGGCGGGCGGCCGUGUAUGAGGUGAUCUUUGUUGUCGCCCUGGGGGCGGCGGUCACGUGACGGUGUCCUCUUACUGACAGUCCAAAAGGAGGAGGAGGAUCAGUACAGAAGAGGAAGGCGUCUACUAGGAAGAUCCAGGACGGAUGUCACAGGAACGCCCCAUUUGCACCAAGUUACCUUAUUUGCAUAAGAAGAAUAAUGGAAGAAAGAAGCCACAGAUUUUUAAAUGGUCCUAGGAAAGGAAUGUCCAGGAGGUCACAUGAUUUACAGGAAAUCACAGCAGCGCGGAUUAGAUAGAAGUACCUCUUUAGCUUUUACUGUUAAUUUGCAUGUGAUUGUGUUGACCUUGAUGGAUUUG